rnacentral:rRNA from 1 species
AGAGUUUGAUCAUGGCUCAGAACGUACGCUGGCGGCACGCCUAACACAUGCAAGUCGAACGAAGUAGCAAUACUUAGUGGCAGACGGGUGAGUAACAUGUGGGUAUCUGCCCUUUGGCCUGGAAUAACACGAGGAAACUUGUGCUAAUACUGGAUAAGUCUUUACGGAGAAAGCUUUAUGCACCAUUGGAUGAGCCCGCACUUGAUUAGUUUGUUGGUGGGGUAAUGGCCUACCAAGACUUUGAUCAAUAGCUGAUUUGAGAGGAUGAUCAGCCACAUUGGGACUGAGACACGGCCCAAACUCCUACGGGAGGCAGCAGUGGGGAAUCUUGCACAAUGGAGGAAACUCUGAUGCAGCGAUGCCGCGUGAGUGAAGAAGGCCCUUGGGUUGUAAAGCUCUUUCGUCGGGGAAGAAAAUGACUGUACCCGAAUAAGAAGGUCCGGCUAACUUCGUGCCAGCAGCCGCGGUAAUACGAAGGGACCUAGCGUAGUUCGGAAUUACUGGGCUUAAAGAGUUCGUAGGUGGUUGAAAAAGUUGGUGGUGAAAUCCCAGAGCUUAACUCUGGAACUGCCAUCAAAACUUUUCAGCUAGAGUUUGAUAGAGGAAAGCAGAAUUUCUAGUGUAGAGGUGAAAUUCGUAGAUAUUAGAAAGAAUACCAAUUGCGAAGGCAGCUUUCUGGAUCAUUACUGACGCUGAGGAACGAAAGCAUGGGUAGCGAAGAGGAUUAGAUACCCUCGUAGUCCAUGCCGUAAACGAUGUGUGUUAGACGUUGGAAAUUUAUUUUCAGUGUCGCAGCGAAAGCGAUAAACACACCGCCUGGGGAGUACGACCGCAAGGUUAAAACUCAAAUGAAUUGACGGGGACCCGCACAAGUAGUGGAGCAUGUGGUUUAAUUCGAAGAUACGCGCAGAACCUUACCAACACUUGACAUGUUCGUCGCGACUUUAAGAGAUUAAAGUUUUCGGUUCGGCCGGACGAAACACAGGUGCUGCAUGGCUGUCGUCAGCUCGUGUCGUGAGAUGUUGGGUUAAGUCCCGCAACGAGCGCAACCCUCACUUUUAGUUGCCAUCAUUAAGUUGGGCACUCUGAAAGAACUGCCAGUGAUAAGCUGGAGGAAGGUGGGGAUGACGUCAAGUCCUCAUGGCCCUUACGUGUUGGGCUACACACGUGCUACAAUGGUAUCUACAACAGGAAGCGAAACAGCGAUGUUAAGCAAAUCCUUAAAAGAUACCUCAGUUCGGAUUGCACUCUGCAACUCGAGUGCAUGAAGCUGGAAUUACUAGUAAUCGUGGAUCAGCGUGCCACGGUGAAUGCGUUCCCGGGUCUUGUACACACCGCCCGUCACACCAUGGGAGUUGGUUCUACCUUAAGGCAAGGUUUAAUACCCUUGACCACGGUAUAGUCAGCGACUGGGGUGAAGUCAUAACAAGGUAGCCGUA